UGGGCAACCUGCCCUCAGCUCUGGGAUAACUCCAAGAAAUUGGGGCUAAUACCGGAUAUGACCGCUGACCGCAUGGUCUGGUGGUGGAAAGAUUUAUCGGCUGGGGAUGGGCACGCGGCCUAUCAGCUUGUUGGUGGGGUAGUGGCCCACCAAGGCGACGACGGGUAGCCGGCCUGAGAGGAUGACCAGCCACACUGGGACUGAGACACGGCCCAGACCUCCGUACGGGAG
rnacentral:rRNA from 1 species